rnacentral:tRNA from 1 species
UUGGCUGUGGCUCAGUGUUAAAGCAUCUGCUUUCCAUGUAGAAGGUCUCAGGUUCAAUUUCUGGCACUUCCAGUUAAA